GACGAACGCUGGCGGCGUGCUUAACACAUGCAAGUCGAACGAAGUGGCUAACGGGUGAGUAACGCGUAAUCAACCUGCCCUUCAGCGGGGGACACCAGUUGGACACGACUGCUAAUACCGCAUACUGAAGGAGGGGAUUGCGUCUGAUUAGCUAGUUGGCGGGGUAACGGCCCACCAAGGCGAUGAUCAGUAGCCGGUCUGAGAGGAGGAACGGCCACAUUGGGACUGAGACACGGACCAGACUCCUACGGGAGGCAGCAGGGGGGAAGUGUCCGAAAUGGACGAAAGUCUGACGGAGCAACGCCGGGUGAGUGAUGACGGCCUUCGGGUUGUAAAGCUCUGUUAAUCGGGACGCGGUACCGGAAUAGAAAGCCACGGCUAACUACGUGCCAGCAGCCGCGGUAAUUC
rnacentral:rRNA from 1 species